rnacentral:rRNA from 1 species
AUUGAACGCUGGCGGCAUGCUUUACACAUGCAAGUCGAACGGCAGCGCGGGCUUCGGCCUGGCGGCGAGUGGCGAACGGGUGAGUAAUGCAUCGGAACGUGCCCAGUAGUGGGGGAUAGCCCGGCGAAAGCCGGAUUAAUACCGCAUACGACCUUAGGGUGAAAGCGGGGGACCGAAAGGCCUCGCGCUAUUGGAGCCGCCGAUGUCGGAUUAGCUAGUUGGUGGGGUAAAGGCUUACCAAGGCGACGAUCCGUAGCUGGUCUGAGAGGACGACCAGCCACACUGGGACUGAGACACGGCCCAGACUCCUACGGGAGGCAGCAGUGGGGAAUUUUGGACAAUGGGGGCAACCCUGAUCCAGCCAUGCCGCGUGCGGGAAGAAGGCCUUCGGGUUGUAAACCGCUUUUGUUGGGGAAGAAAUCCUCUGGGCUAAUACCCCGGGGGGAUGACGGUACCGGAAGAAUAAGCACCGGCUAACUACGUG